GACGGCCUCAGUAGAGCGAUCUGAGAGCUGGCAGAACCCCCUGUCUCCCGCGUGAGCGAUCGCGGGGGACACCGUUCUGUGCAACGGAAUGCUGAAAAGAGUCAGUGCAUACGACGCAUGGCUCCGUAUCAGGAGGAGCUUGUGUGUGCAGACACCGCAUCGCUCGGGAAGAGCAAGCUCUUCUCGCGGUCUCUGCAGUCCUU
rfam:Synechococcus sp. WH 8102 complete genome.